rnacentral:rRNA from 1 species
AUUCCAGCUCCAAUAGCGUAUAUUAAAGUUGUUGCAGUUAAAAAGCUCGUAGUUGGAUUUCUGGUAUAAUGCGCCUGGCCCGCCACGGUUACGUGUGUGAGUGCCGGUGCGCGUUUGCCAUCCUUCUAGUAAACGAUUCUACCCUUUACUGGGCGGAUUCGCGAACUAGAACUUUUACUUUGAAAAAAUUAGAGUGUUUAAAGCAGGCAAUUGCUGUGAAUACAUUAGCAUGGAAUAAUGAUCUAGGACUUCGGUUCUAUUUUGUUGGUUUCUAGCACUGAAGUAAUGAUUGAUAGGGAUAGUUGGGGGUGCUAGUAUUUAGAGGCCAGAGGUGAAAUUCUUGGAUUCUCUAAAGACUAACUUAUGCGAAAGCAUUCACCAAGGAUGUCUUCAUCG